UUAGAGUAUUAUAAAAGGUUUGGAAGCACCUGAAAUAUUGGAAGAAGCUAAGAAUCUUGCUGCAUCUGGUGUCGGUCACAGAAUUUUCUUCUGGUUCUUGCACGAGGUACUCACACAAUUGCCGCCGGUUCUCUGAUCCUUCUUAUUACAUAGUACACUACUACCUUCUUUACAUUCUUUUGCUUCUCUGGCCCAUCAUCUUUGGGUAUUUACAUGUAAACAGAAAGUGUCGAUGAGGCUGCUGCUACUCUCGCUUCACUUACUGAAUCUUGGCCUUGUGUUCAUCUUCUUGUACUGUCUUGGACAUCACGGACUCCAACCAUUUACGCACAUCUUUAUGAUGGUGUCCCGGAGGCGAUGGAGUCUGCAAAGGAAUUUUCCAUCAGGAUGAGAUAUGCGUCGUUUAUUCAUCUAGAUAACCCUCUUUUCACCACCCUAAAAUUUGUAGCAUACGCUGAUCACACAGAUACCAGAUGUGGUUUAUUCUUAGUUGUUAAUUGUUCUGAAAGUGAUGGAUCAAAUGCCUAUGAAGUUGUUUAUAUUCUUGCAUACUACAAGUAGUUGGGGGCCUGCUAAAUGUUAUGAGCAGGAGAAGGUUCUAUCUAGCAUUAGGGAGGGCUUUAUUUAUAAUCCUAAUAAGUAUUAUGUAAAGUUUUUUUUGUUUUUCUCUUUUGAUCUGAAUGGCAUGGAAAAUAUUGACUCAUUUCAUGUCGUCAUUUCAUUUCAUUUUUCUGUCUUGCUCUGUAAAACUUGCUUUUGUUAAUUAGGCCAAAGUUUUCACCCCUUUUAUAAAAGAAAACAAAUAACUUGAUGCUAACAUGCAUGGUGCUUAUGAGAGAAGACCCCACGCAAAUCGGCGACUGGUGUGUCAAGGUGACCAUCCACCAUUGCUUCUUCGACAGCAUGCGGCCGAUCCACCCACACCUGCGGUUCAGCAAGGUCCACCUCUACAACAAAACUACACCAGUGAUUGGGGCAUAUACGCUGUCUGCGACAGUGUCAAAGCUCAGAUUGUAUCCGGUGUAACAUAUACGAUAGACAGAAGAAGACUGCACCUGCAUCGUCAGACAAGAUGAGACGAGGAUGCUGCUGUAGGCUGCCGACAGAGAACAGAUGGUGGACGCGGGGGGGGGGGGGUUGUGGCAAGAGCAGGGCCUCUCGAGCAAGGCCACGGGAAUCUUCUUUGCCAUGGGCACCUAGGGCUGGUGUGCCAAGAUUGAGACAUCGGCACCCGUUGUCCACAUCGAUGCUGGCAAUGAAAAAAAAAUGCAUGGAUCUGCGCAACCAAAUUUGAUGCCCAUCAACAUCAG